rnacentral:hammerhead_ribozyme from 15 species
UAGGCGUAUAAGGUAGGCUUCCAUUACAAUACCUUACUGAUGAGUCCAGUAGCCGGGACGAAACGCCAA